rnacentral:rRNA from 1 species
GCAAACCGACACAGGUAGAUGAGGCGAGGAGCCUAAGGUGUACGAGAGAACCUUCGUUAAGGAACUCGGCAAAUCAGCGGUCGUAAGUUCGCAAUAAGACCUCCCUGCGCAAGCAGGGCGCAGCUAAAGACAGCCAAGUGACUGUUUACCAAAAACACAGCUCUCUGCUAAAUCGUAAGAUGAUGUAUAGAGGGUGAUGCCUGGCCAGUGUCCGAACGUUAAGGGGAGAGGUUAGCCGUAAGGCGAAGCCUUGAACUGAAGCGCGGAUGAACGCCGGCCGUAACUAUAACGGUCCUAAGGUAGCGAAAUUCCUUGUCGGGUAAAUUCCGACCUGCACGAAUGGCAUAACAACUUGGUUACUGUCUCGACGAAGGACUCGGCGAAAUUGCAAGACGAGUAAAGAUGCUCGUUAAUCAUAGUUGGACGAAAAGACCCCAUGAAGCUUUACUAUAACUUGAUAUUGGUUUAGGGCUACGCAUGUUCAGGAUAGGUGGGAGCCUUCGGGCGCCGGUGAGAUACCACCCUUGCGUAGUUUUAAAUCUAACCUUAGACCAUGAAUCUGGCCAAGGGACAGUGUCUGGCGGGUAGUUUGUCUGGGGCGGAUGCCUCCCAAAAGGUAACGGAGGCGUUUACCAAGGUUGGCUAUCCCGGGAUGGAAAUCCGGGAGAUAGUGUAAAGGCACAAGCCAGCUUUACUGCGAGACCUACAAGUCAAGCAGUCGCGAAAGCGGAACUUAGUGAUCCGACCAUUCAAUAUAGGAUGGUGGAAGCUCAACGGAUAAAAGCUACUCUGGGGAUAACAGGCUAGUCACGCCCAAGCGUCCACAGCGACGGCGUGGUUCGGCACCUCGAUGUCGGCUCGUCGCAUCCUGGGGGUGGAGAAGCUCCCAAGGGUUGGGCUGUUCGCCCAUUAAAGCGGCACGCGAGCUGGGUUCAGACCGUCGUAAGACAGGUCGGUCUCCUAUCCACUAUGAUCGCGGAAACUUGAGAAGGCGCUUCCCUAGUACGAGAGGACCGGGAAGCACGAAGCUCUGGUGUACCAGCUGUCCUACCAAGGGCAUCGCUGGGUAGCUAUCUUCGGUUAGGAUAAGCGCUGAAAGCAUAUAAGUGCGAAGCCGUCUUCAAGAUUAGGUUUCAUAGACUCCCGGGAGACUACCGGGUUGAUAGGUUCUAGGUGUAAGCGCAGUAAUGCGUUGAGCCGAGGAAUACUAAUAAGUCAUUUGAUUUUCCCA